GUCACGGCGACAGUAAAUAACUCAUGGAUGCCCGUCGUCACGGCGGCAGUAAAUGACUCCUGGAUGCCCGUCGUCAUGGCGACAGUACCUAAAUGACUCCUGGUCCAGUUUUUUUCAUUGUUUGUUUUCUGCUUCUCUGCGUUUCUUUGUGGAUUUUGUUUGUCUAUUUUUUGGCCCUGGGCUUAGACUGUGUGUGUGCGUGUGUAUGUGUGUGUGUGUUUGUGUGUCUGCGUGCAUGUGUGUGUGUGCAUGUGUGUGCGUGCGUGUGUGUGUGAGAACACAUAGCUUAUGACAGGCCAGUGGUCUUCAGCCCAUUUCCAAAGCAGAUCAGUGAUGAGUUCAUUUAUCUUCACUCAAACACAAUGAUGAUGAUGAUGAUGAUGAUGAUGAUGAUGAUGAUGAUGAUGAUGAGUUCAUUUAUCGUCUGGGCGGAGUCAAACAUAGCCCACUCAAACACAAUGAUGAUGAUGAUGAUGUUCGAAAGCAACACUUUCUGUAUAUUUUUUAAAUAUAAAUACUUAUUUUUUAAUAUCGGGGAAUCAUUUCAAUUAGGUGUGCUAGAUGCACAGUGACCUAGGUGUGUGUGUGUGUGUGUUUCUGUACUAGAUGCACAGAUGUCAUUUAAAAAGGUUCUGUGACCAUGUGUCUGUGUGUGUGUGAGAGUGUGAGAGUGUGUGUGUGAGUGUGUGAGUGUGUGUGUGUGUGUGUGAGAGAGAGAGAGACUGUGUGUGUGUGUGUGUGUGUGUGUGAGAGUGUGUGUGUGUGUGUGUGUGAGAGUGUGUGAGUGUGUGUGUGUGUUUGUGUGUGUGAGAGAGUGUGUUUGUGAGAGAGUGUGUGUGUGUGUGUGUGUGUGUGUGAAAGAGUGUGUGUGUGUGUGUGUGUGUGUGUGUGUGUGUGUGUGUGUCCCUACCCAUCACAUGGCUCCAUCCUCUGGGUCUCUCCUCAGCUGUGUUAACACAAUAUAUUAUAUUUGUAUGUUUUUUUAUUUUUUUAUUUAUUUUUCUAUUCUUGCCUUUUGAGUGGCAGUCUCUGGUGUUCCCGUGUGUGUUCCUCUCUCUGCGGAGUGUACCGGUGUGUGUUCCCCCACCCAGCCGUGAGGCUCUCUCUCGCCCAGGCCGGGAAGAGCGUUGUGGGGCACCUCUUGGGCACCUCUUGGGCACCUCUGGGGCACCUCUGGGGCAACUCUGGGGCAACUCUGGGGCAACUCUUGGGCACCUCUUGGGCAACUCUGGGGCACCUCUGCCUUCCUGCCCGAUGGGUGUCAGACUGGCCUCCUCUGGCGUUAAGCUAUUCCUGAAGGUCAGAGCGUGAGCGCGUAGGCACUUCCUGCUCCUCCUCUACUCCCUCCUCCUCCAUUUUAGGGUCACAGAGCUCCUAGGUGGUUUGCUAGCUGCUGGCGUUCCUGUGGUCCCUAGAGCUUCUGGAUCCAUCCCAUAAUAACCCAACGGGUCAGCGACACAUCAGCAGCCCCGUGCCCAGCCCACCUCAGCACACAGCCAGCAGGAUGUUAGCAGCUCAGCGCUGGGGCUAACUCAGUGCUAACUCAGCGCUGGGGCUAACUCAGUGCUAACUUAGCGCUGGGGCUAACUCAGUGCUAACUCAGUGCUAACUCAUUCAUAACUUAGCGCUGGGGCUAACUCAGUGCUAACUCAGUGCUAACUCAGUGCUAACUCAUUCAUAACUUAGCGCUGGGGCUAACUCAGUGCUAACUCAGUGCUAACUCAGUGCUAACUCAGUGCAAACUCAUUCAUAACUUAGCGCCGGGGCUAACUCAGUGUGUGCUGACUGCUGAGGUGAGGGGUGUGUUUUGGCACUCCCAGCAGCCUUGGAGCUCAGAGGGGUGUGUGUGAGGUGAGGGGUGUGUCUGAGGUGUGGGUGGAGCUCAGAGGGGUGUGUGUGAGGUGAGGGGUGUGUCUGAGGUGUGGGUGGAGCUCAGAGGGGUGUGUCUGAGGUAAGGGGUGUGUCUGAGGUGUGGCGUAGGAUGUCCAAACACCUCCCCCUCCCUUUCUCUCUCUAUCUAUCUGCUCCUCUUCUGGCUCAGAUCUGGCUGGUAUCUGGCUGGGAUCUGCUCCACUGUCAGGGAUCUUUCCGGAGGUUUCCCAGCGGAGCAGUCCAAAGCCUUCAGCACAGAGUCACAGAGUGUGUGUGUGUGUGUGUGUGUGUGUGUGUGUGUGUGUGUGGGAUCUUUCCGGAUGGUUCCCAGCGGAGCAGUCCAAAGCCUUCAGCACAGAGUCAACCCUGUGAUGCUAAUGUGGACAUAGAAACCUUUCACCUUUCACCUUUCACCUUUCACCUUUAACCUUUCCGUGAAUGUUUCUCAUAUCCUUGUUUCUGUCUUUGUUUCCUGACGUGGUACUUGUAAAAUACCGCAAGUAAAAGUAAAGAAAUGCCUGCUUUUUUAAUAUUAAUAUAUGUACACACACACACGCACACACACGCACACAGUACAAGACAUUCUCUGCUUUUUUUAUAUUAAUAUAUGUAUGUACAAGACAUUCUCUGCUUCAUCUAGCCUUCUCUCAAGUGCGCCAUUGUACUUCUCCUCCUCUCCUCUACUCUCCUCUUCUUCUCCUCUCCUCUACUCUCCUUCUCCUCUCCUCCUCUCCUCCAGUGCACUUUCCUCCUCUCCUCCUCUCCUCUCUCCUCCUCUCCUCCAGUGCACUUUCCUCCUCUCCUUCUCUCCUCCUCUCCUUCUCUCCUCUUCUCCUCCUCUUCUCUUCUUCUCCAGUGCACUCUCCUCUUCUCCUCCUCUUCUCUUCUUCUCCAGUGCACUCUCCUCUUCUCCUCCUCUCCUCUCCUCUUGUCUCUUGUCUGUCGUUCUUCUCCUCAUUCCUUCUUCACUCAUUCCAACUGUUGACAGAAUGUUCCAGAUAAAAAUGUUAUCUUUUUAAUGUACAUAUGUUUUGUAUAUGCUUUUGCAAGUGCAUCAAAUCUGUUUUUUUUUCACAUUCAAAACUGUCAUACGUGCCUGUUCUGCAAUAAAGCCUUAUUUUC
ensembl:lncRNA